GAAAAUACAACACUCAGAUUUGCCACUGGGCUUCUACUUUGCAGAUGUAUGUGGUGGCUUGUAUUUGCUUUUUACCUUUACGAGCUUAUGUUGUAUUCUGCUUAUGCCAUUAAAAAUGCUCUAAUACUCUUUUAUCCUUUCUCAGUCACAGGGGGCAUCACAGAAGAGCAGUUUCAGACACAUCAACAGCAGCUAGCUCAAAUGCAAAGGCAGCAACUCGCGCAGCUUCAGCAGAAACAGCAAUCCCAGCAUUCCUCACAGCAGACACAUCCAAAAGCACAGGGCUCAAGCACCUCGGACUGUAUGUCUAAAACACUUGACUCAGCCAGCGCCCACUUUGCUGCAUCUGCAGUGGUCAGUGCUCCUGUUCCAAGUCGCAGUGAGGGAUCUAAGGAACAGAACACUGGCCACAACAAUAUGAAUGGUGUUGUCCAGCCUUCAGGACCCUCUAAAACAUUAUAUUCCACCAAUAUGGCUUUAUCAUCCAGCCCAGGGAUUUCAGCUGUACAGCUUGUAAGGACAGUUGGCCACACUACUACAAACCACUUGAUCCCAGCGUUGUGCACAAGCAGUCCUCAGACACUUCCCAUGAACAAUUCCUGCCUGACCAAUGCAGUGCACCUCAAUAAUGUCAGUGUUGUUUCUCCUGUCAAUGUGCAUAUCAAUACACGGACUUCAGCACCAUCGCCAACAGCCUUAAAACUUGCCACAGUUGCUGCCAGUAUGGACAGAGUGCCAAAGGUUACUCCCAGCAGUGCCAUCAGCAGCAUAGCCAGAGAGAACCAUGAACCAGAAAGACUGGGUUUAAAUGGAAUAGCAGAGACAACAGUAGCUAUGGAAGUGACAUAACGUAAAGUGUGUGGCUUUGACCUGUGUGGACGGUUGCAGUCAUUCAUAUUCCAGCGGAAUACAAAGGCGACACUCUGGAUCACAGAGCAGAACAAUGGACCCAAAUGGAGUACAGUAUACCGGAUGUUAAGUCGAUGUAUGAUGUAUAUUUUGUAAAAUUGGGAAAAUCACUACCUUGUAAAAUAGUUUAUUUGUAUCAUCAAUAUUAUUUCUGUUACUUGAAUAGUAGAUAUUCAUCAUCAUGCUUUUGCACUUGAAUUUGCAACUGAAUGGAUUUUAAAAAUAAUUCUUUAAUGGGAUCAUGAGCAUGAAAUGGGAUCCUGCAUCACUUGUUUUAACUAUUUAUUUUGCCAUGUUUACAUUUUGUAUCUUGU
rnacentral:lncRNA from 1 species